GACGAACGCUGGCGGCGUGCUUAACACAUGCAAGUCGAACGGUGAAGGGACCGGCUUGCUGGUUCUGGAUGAGUGGCGAACGGGUGAGUAACACGUGAGUAACCUGCCCCCUUCUUCUGGAUAACCGCAUGAAAGUGUGGCUAAUACGGGAUAUUCUGGGUCUGUCGCAUGGCGGGCCCGGGAAAGAUAUUGCUUCGGUGGGGGAUGGGCUCGCGGCCUAUCAGCUUGUUGGUGGGGUGAUGGCCUACCAAGGCGGUGACGGGUAGCCGGCCUGAGAGGGUGGACGGUCACACUGGGACUGAGACACGGCCCAGACUCCUACGGGAGGCAGCAGUGGGGAAUAUUGCACAAUGGGCGCAAGCCUGAUGCAGCGACGCCGCGUGAGGGAUGGAGGCCUUCGGGUUGUAAACCUCUUUCGCCAGUGAAGCAGGCCUGCUCCUUGUGGGUGGGUUGACGGUAGCUGGAUAAGAAGCGCCGGCUAACUACGUG
rnacentral:rRNA from 1 species